AUUGAACGCUGGCGGCAGGCUUAACACAUGCAAGUCGAGCGAGCGGCGGACGGGUGAGUAAUGUCUGGGAAACUGCCUGAUGGCGGGGGAUAACUACUGGAAACGGUAGCUAAUACCGCAUACCAUCAGAUGUGCCCAGAUGGGAUUAGCUAGUAGGUGGGGUAAUGGCUCACCUAGGCGACGAUCCCUAGCUGGUCUGAGAGGAUGACCGGCCACACUGGAACUGAGAAAAGGUCAAGACUCCUACGGUAGGCAGCAUUGGGGAAUUGUGCACAAUGGGCGCAAGCCUGAUGAAGCCAUGCCGCGUGGGUGAAGAAGGCCUUAGGGUUGUAAAGCACUUUCAGCGAGGAGGCGUUACUCGCAGAAGAAGCACCGGCUAACUCCGUGCCAGCAGCCGCGGUAAUAC
rnacentral:rRNA from 1 species